rnacentral:other from 1 species
AAGCUCCUGGGGUGUGCGACAGCGUGCCGCUUUUCCCCACAUUUUCUUAAAUGGAUCCGGCGUCCGGGUGCGGAUGUCAUGCCCCCGUUGAAAAACGCUAGGGGACGGCAGAACCAUUCGGCAGGAAACCAGCCUGCUUUUAACAGCGGGUGAAAUUGCGGUGUGCAUCGGCAUUCUGGGGCUAG